GAUGAAGAACGCAGCGAAAUGCGAAAAGUAAUGUGAAUUGCAGAAUUCAGUGAAUCAUCGAAUCUUUGAACGCACAUUGCGCCCCCUGGUAUUCCGGGGGGCAUGCCUGUUCGAGCGUCAUUUCACCACUCAAGCCUCGCUUGGUAUUGGGCAACGCGGUCCGCCGCGUGCCUCAAAUCGACCGGCUGGGUCUUCUGUCCCCUAAGCGUUGUGGAAACUAUUCGCUAAAGGGUGUUCGGGAGGCUACGCCGUAAAACAACCCCAUUUCUAAGGUUGACCUCGGAUCAGGUAGGGAUACCCGCUGAACUUAAGCAUAUCAAUAAGCGGAGGA
rnacentral:misc_RNA from 1 species